rnacentral:rRNA from 1 species
AGUGAACGCUGGCGGUAGGCCUAACACAUGCAAGUCGAACGGCAGCACAGUAAGAGCUUGCUCUUACGGGUGGCGAGUGGCGGACGGGUGAGGAAUACAUCGGAAUCUACUUUUUCGUGGGGGAUAACGUAGGGAAACUUACGCUAAUACCGCAUACGACCUACGGGUGAAAGCAUGGGAUCUUCGGACCUUGCGCGAUUGAAUGAGCCGAUGUCGGAUUAGCUAGUUGGCGGGGUAAAGGCCCACCAAGGCGACGAUCCGUAGCUGGUCUGAGAGGAUGAGAAGCAACACUGGAACUGAGACACGGUCCAGACUCCUACGGGAGGCAGCAGUGGGGAAUAUUGGACAAUGGGCGCAAGCCUGAUCCAGCCAUACCGCGUGGGUGAAGAAGGCCUUCGGGUUGUAAAGCCCUUUUGUUGGGAAAGAAAAGCAGCAGGUUAAUACCCCGCUGUUCUGACGGUACCCAAAGAAUAAGCACCGGCUAACUUCGUG